rnacentral:rRNA from 1 species
GUGCACCAGUCGCGAAUUUUUCUCAAUGGGCGAAAGCCUGAAGGAGCGACGCCGCGUGGGGGAUGAAUGGCUUCGGCCCGUAAACCCCUGUCAUUUGCGAACAAAUUGACUCACCCAACACGUGUGUCAUUGAUUGUAGCGGAAGAGGAAGGGACGGCUAACUCUGUGCCAGCAGCCGCGGUAAUACAGAGGUCCCAAGCGUUGUUCGGACUCACUGGGCGUAAAGGGUGCGUAGGCGGUUGGGUAAGUCUGACGUGAAAUCUCCGGGCCUAACCCGGAAACUGCGUUGGAUACUAUCCGGCUAGAGGAAUGGAGGGAGACUGGAAUACUUGGUGUAGCAGUGAAAUGCGUAGAUAUCAAGUGGAACACCAGUGGCGAAGGCGAGUCUCUGGACAUUUCCUGACGCUGAGGCACGAAAGCCAGGGGAGCAAACGGGAUUAGAUA